rnacentral:rRNA from 1 species
AGUGAACGCUGGCGGUAGGCCUAACACAUGCAAGUCGAACGGCAGCACAGUAAGAGCUUGCUCUUACGGGUGGCGAGUGGCGGACGGGUGAGGAAUACAUCGGAAUCUACUUUUUCGUGGGGGAUAACGUAGGGAAACUUACGCUAAUACCGCAUACGACCUACGGGUGAAAGCAGGGGAUCUUCGGACCUUGCGCGAUUGAAUGAGCCGAUGUCGGAUUAGUUAGUUGGCGGGGUAAAGGCCCACCAAGGCGACGAUCCGUAGCUGGUCUGAGAGGAUGAUCAGCCACACUGGAACUGAGACACGGUCCAGACUCCUACGGGAGGCAGCAGUGGGGAAUAUUGGACAAUGGGCGCAAGCCUGAUCCAGCCAUGCCGCGUGGGUGAAGAAGGCCUUCGGGUUGUAAAGCCCUUUUGUUGGGAGAGAAAAGCAGCAGGUUAAUACCCCGCUGUUCUGACGGUACCCAAAGAAUAAGCACCGGCUAACUUCGUG